rnacentral:rRNA from 1 species
CUGGCUCAGAACGAACGCUGGCGGCGCGUUUAAGCAUGCAAGUCGAGCGGCAAGGGCCUUCGGGCCCCUAGAGCGGCGGACGGGUGAGUAACACGUGGACAAUCUGCCCCCCGGCCCGGGAUAGCCCAGGGAAACCUGGAUUAAUACCGGAUGAGACGGGACCCGCGAUGGCGGGAUCCGGGAAAGGCGCUGCGGCGCCGCCGGGGGAUGAGUCUGCGUCCCAUUAGCUAGACGGCGGGGUAACGGCCCACCGUGGCGACGAUGGGUAGCCGGCCUGAGAGGGUGGACGGCCACAUUGGAACUGAGACACGGUCCAGACUCCUACGGGAGGCAGCAGCUAAGAAUCUUCCGCAAUGGGCGAAAGCCUGACGGGGGCCGACGCCGCGUGAACGAAGAAGGCCGUGAGGUUGUAAAGUUCUUUUCGGGAGGGGGAACAACCGUGGCAGGGAAUGGCCGCGGGAUGACGUGAAUCCCGGAAUAAGCCCCGGCUAACUACGUGCCAGCAGCGGC